ensembl:snRNA U6 U6 spliceosomal RNA
GUGCUCACUUCGGCAGCACAGUUGCUAAAAUUGGAGCGAUACAGAGAUGAUUGGCAUGGCUCAUGUGCAAAGAUGACAUGUAAAUUUGUGAAGUGUUCCAUAUUUUU